AUACCAAGUGCCAUUUAAUGGCUAAACCUUAAUACUGCAAUUAUCCUUCACUUUCUCCAGGGCUUUUAACUGAGUGCACAUGAGUGGCCUUUCAGAAAAAUGGGUGGAAGGAGUGAAUACUUGGCAAUAAUUGGCCCUUGAAGUGGAGGCUCAAUCAGCCGGGCUCUGAUUGGAACCACCUAGAAACCACACCCCCGAAUAGCUUUCCAGCAGCUGAGAAUUCACGGAAGAGAAAAGAGAUGGGAUCAUGCCCAAUGCCACCAGCACAAAGGAUCCAUCUGCCUCCAGGAAAUUUUGCCAUUCUGAUUCAAUAUCGUUGCCUGACUGUAUACUUGGCAGAGAAGCAUGGUAUGUAAACCUGUCAGUACAGAUAAAUAAUUAAACGCAAAAAUCCAGGCUGGAAAUGAAAGGAAGUCCUGCUGAAUAACCUCUUAGUGAGGGCACACCAUUUCAUUACAUUGCUUACAUUGUGCCAAUGUUAUAAAAGUAUGAUGUACACUAUUAAGAAAUUGUUUUAGGCAUUCAUUUAGUUUAGGGAUAUUUUUUUUUUCCCAGUAACUAGAAAAUUUGCUUUUUUGGUGGCUGAUUUUUGCA
rnacentral:lncRNA from 1 species